CUGGGUUCAUGCACAGGGAUGACGUCACACACGGAAGCGCUUACCCUGUGUAGCUGGAAAUCAAAUGACACUUGAAUGACUUCUGUCUAACCCGUCCGAAUACAACAAAUGUCUCCAACGGAGGAGUUGGUCAAGCAGUGGGAAAGUGAGCAGGCCAUUCUCAGAGAGCAGGUGGUGGAGGAGGACACGGAAGACUGGCAGAAGAGCCCAGACUUCUCGGGGCUGGAACGGGUCGCUGGACUGGACCUCUCCUUCAUCAAAGGUGAUGACGUCAAUGCCUGCGCCCAGCUCGUCGUGCUCAGCUACCCUGUUCUUGAGGUGCUCUAUGAGGACAGUCAGAUGGUGACCCUAACAGCCCCCUACAUGGCAGGCUUUCUAGCCUUCAGAGAAACCCCUUUCCUCUUGGAUGCUCUGCAGCGGCUUGAAAGGGACAAGCCCACUCUUCUGCCUCAGGUGCUGUUUGUGGAUGGCAAUGGUCUCUUUCACUACAGAGAAUUUGGACUGGCAUGUCAUGUUGGAGUGCUGUCAGGGCUGCCAUGUGUGGGUGUUGCCAAGAACCUACUCCAGGUCCAGGGUGUGUUCAAAAAUGAAGAACACCAGUCUCAGAUUUCAGCACUGCAGAAAGGAGGAGACAACUUUCCACUCAUAGCAACCUCUGGUAAAGUGCUUGGAAAGGCACUGCGUAGCUCAGACAAGAGCACCAAGCCAGUCUAUGUGUCAGUUGGCCACAAGAUCAGUCUGGAUACUGCUGUGAAGCUCACACACUCUUGCAGCCGCUUCAGAGUCCCGGAGCCAAUCAGACAGGCUGACUAUCGCUCCAGAGAGUACCUCCGUGCUCACUUCCCUGCUGCAGAGACGGGAAUCACGGAAUGAGGGUCCGUUGAGAAAUGAAAAGACAGGGGGACAAGCUAUAACUUCUAUGUAAAGAGAAGCAAGUCAGCCAACGAAAGGGAGUGAUGCGGCAAGAUCUCAGGAACUUCAGCAAAGAUCAGCAACUUUGCUGUCUUCUGUGUGGGGGGGAAACCACUGUACCUGUGGAAAAACAACCAAUCAGAGACCGGGGACUUGACUUUCGAGGCGUCAAUCAUUUGUCGCACACUCGCAGGCAAACCCCCCGUGGCCUCGAACUGACCUGUGACCUUGCUACCGCAGAAAAGGACCAAAUUCGAAAUGGAGGGUUACAAUAACACUAAAUGUUAUCGGUUUGAAGUUGAAUUUUUUUGCGAGGCCUCUUGGGUGUGCCCGCAAUAAAUGAAUGAAAAUUGCUAACUCUCCUUUUUAUAUGUUAAUUAAGUCCAGAAUGUCUCGCUCACAGACCUAUUUUCAAAAACAGGCCAAGCACAAAACCUCACAAUUCAUUUCACACAUGGUGGGUGGGCGGGCACACCAGAGACCCAACUAUUUGUACACAAGCAAGUAAAAAGUAAAUCUUCCAUAAUGUGUCCCCUUUAAGAGUCUACAUUGUGGACAGAAGCAAUACUGAAAGUUUGAACUUAUGUUUGCUCCUGCUUAUCCCAAGCAUUUUCCUGAAAAGUUCACCUCGUGGCGUUUUUUGUAGUAUUUAGGAGCCAUCCAGAAGAAGAAAAAAUGCUGUUAACAGUUUAUUAUUUUGCAGUGGUUCCUGUUACUUACCCAUGGGUCUAAGCUGAAUUGUUGAUCAUAUCUGACAGCUUCUUACUGCAGUUUUGUCCUUUCUGGCAUCUACACUUACUUGAUUUUCUCAGCUCACUCUCAGAGGCCCAAAGCUGUUCACACUUGACUUACAGUACCUUUUGCAUUAUUUUCAGCCUGAAGAUUCUGACAGGGCAGCAAUUCUUUUUUUCCGAUGACAGCUCUUCCAUUUUGGAAAUCAUUAAUGCCUCCAAUCGGAUUUCUUCUUGUGAAAACUUUAAAAUCGGUUUGUAUUCUCUCCUAAUUGAGAAGUUCAAUGAACAGAAGUAUAUGUUGCAGCAAGUAUAUGUAUUUACUUGAAUUUAUUAUACUCAUUAUAAUCCUUCAAGGGGAAAUUCAAUUCACACUCUUUUUGUUCCAGCCACAGUGGUAUUGAGCAGCACAAUUACUUUUUAAUUGUUUGUAUACCAGUUUCUCUGCCCUUGACAAGAAAACUAGGCAGGGUAAAGAACCAGAGCCACUUUCAAGUGACAGCCAGACAACACUCUCCACAUCUCUACAAAGCCAAAAGUGCAUCAUGGGGGAUUACUGCUGCAAAGUGAUGCGUUCCUCUCUAUCUCAGAUAAUGAAAAUUCACUUCAAGGACAGGAUUAAGACCAGAAAUCAGCCUGAAGUCGUUGCAGAAAGGUUUGUGUAUUUUCUUUACCCACGUAUUGUAUAUCAUUGUGCGGACUGAUGUUUAAUAGGGCUUGCUCACAUCAGGCCAUUCGAACUGAGCUGGACUUGUCUGAUAUUCCCUCACCCUUUUCCGUCCCCGCUGGCCUACUUCAUUAUACAACACUGAAUUAUGUUUUUAUUUCUAUUGCGUGAGGUGGAAUUUACCAUGAAUCCCUGGCCAGAGGAGAGAUCAUGAUGGGUCAUGAGCCGGUCAUGGACCUUUUUUAAAAUUCUGAAUUAUUUCUAUUGUGCAUGGUGGUAUCGAUCAUGAAUAACUUGCAAGAAACAAUCACAAGACAGUAUGUAUAACAAGUCUAAAUUGCAGGCCCGUGCAUGUGCCCAUUCAAAAUCGAGCAUAUUUGUAGUGGUAGUAUUUCUUUAUAUUGUACAAGGUGGCAUUUAUCGCUCAUAAAUAGCAAAUAGCAAGGCAACAUUGCAGUACAGUAAUUGUAUGACAAGUCGACCUGCGUACCGAACUUGAGCUCACAUCUGUCCAUGGCACGGCACGGUUUGCCUAGUGUAAGUACCGGGUUGUAAGGGUAGACAAAAUUUUCUGCUGCUUUACCUUAAACCAACCACCAUCUUGGACUGCUACAUAAGGAACGCCAAUGGUGACCAAUGGCAAACUUUUGGGUUUGUGGUUACUCGAGAUGAAGCAGAUGAGGUGCGGCAAUACCUCGUGAAGGCAUCAGAGUUGAAACUAAAUAUUGGUCAAUGAUAAGGUACAAUAAAACAAUACAAUUAAAUUUGAUACAAAAUUGCACUAUUAUCUCAGUAGAGUACGAUCUCUUUAGGCCAUUGGCCAACGCAGUUGUACUCUUGUUAUUCUUUUGCAGUAAUACAACUGUGUUCUCUAUAUAUUGUACUUGGUCUUGCUCUUUUUAUUAUUACUGUUUUGCCCUGUAGUUUAGUGCCUCCAUUUAUCUCUAAACGUCUGUCUACAUUUUGAUGGCGGUAUGGCACUCCCGUUUUGAAAGAGCUGAUGGAAAUACACGUUCCAAGAUGUAUGCCCACCUCAUGAAACAUUUUGAAGAGAAAGCUUGGGUAGAGAGACAACUAUGUUGUCUGUCAAAGUGGUGCUGUCAUCCAACUUCAGACGCACAUUGUUCCAUUGUAGAUUGGGUAACUACACAUUAGAGAAAGUACCAGUAACAUGCACUGUUACAUUAAGUAUCACAAUUUUAUUACAAAAAUUAAAUUAUUCAUCUCUCAGGUUUGCCAUGCUUGGAGCAUAUAACAAUGCAGUAAAAAACCCACACCCAAAGAUAAUAAAGCAGAUUUCAACAAUGCUUUCAUAGCACUCUGUCAUUCAUGCUGUUACUAUACAGAUACUGUAACAUUCCUAAUACAGAGCAGUACAAAC